AGGGCUAUUCUGGCGAGAAAGGUGAUACUGGAUUAUCCGGGAAAAACGGAAUUAAGGGCGACUCUGGUUCAAGAGGAUCACCCGGUCCAAGAGGUCCCGUAGGUCCUCCUGGUGCAACUGGCGAGACUGGAAAACAAGGAGUGUCGGGCCCACGAGGAGUAACUGGAGAUACCGGACCUCAAGGUCCAGUAGGUCCUCCAGGUUUGCCUGGUAUUAAAGGAGUCCAAGGAAUAAAGGGAGCGAAAGGAUACCAAGGAUCACAAGGUUUAGCAGGUUUAGAUGGAAAACCGG